CGACAAUAGACUUGAAAUCAUGUUCAGAAUUUUUGUCUUUACACUCACUGCAUGUUUCCUUGGAAAACAUUUUGCAGAAGCAGCAGGUAAAGUCUAUCAUUUUUUAUAUUGAUAUAAUUAUUAUAAAAGACAAAUGUGAUUUUCUCUUUUUGGAACCGGAUAUAGAUAAAGUAAUUUUAUCGUCAAUUUUGCAGAUGUUGUAUCAAGGCUAUUUAUAUCAAAUAAAAGAUUUUUUCCUUUCGAAUGAACAUAGCAUUGAGGUUAUAUGAUGAAAUAUGUUAGUUUUCUCGCUUUUGAUGCGGCUGUCAUACAAGUGAGAGGUUUAGCGCUAUAAAACUAUUUGAAAAUGCCUGUACCAAGUCAGGAAUAUGACAGUUAGUUGCCCAUUUGUUUGAUGUGUUUUAUCAUUUGAUUUUGCCAUUUGAUUAAGGACUUUCCGUUUUGAAUUUUCCUCGGAGUUCGGUAUUUUUGUGAUUUUACUUUUGAAUUGUUUUGCAUUUGUCAAUUCGGGGCCUUUAAUAGCUGACUAUGUGGUAUGGGCUUUGCUCAUUGUUGAAAGCUGUACGGUGACCUAUAGUUGUUAAUUUCUAUGUCAUUUGGUCUCAAGUGGAGAGUUGUCGUAAUGACAAUAAUACCAGAUCAUUUUUUUUUUAUAUGGAGGGCUUUUUUCAUAAUGAUUGUUAAAGAUGUAAACUAUAAAACCUGGUACUUUUUACUGUUUUGUUCGUCAGUUUCAUUGUUUGGGCUAGGGGAGGGGGUGUAUAAACUGAUUUUGUUUCAAAAUAUUCUGAACUGAAAAUGGACAACAUUUAAAUUACUCAAACUCGAAACAAAAUGUUUUAAUUUUAAACAUGAUGAUCUUCGGAUAUGACUACAAAGUCUGUUUACUUCAAAAAGGUUAUAUACUUAACAACACAAAUUACGCACAGCAUCUUACUUGAUUUAUUCAUAUAAAUCUAUUACAUUUCAAGCAUUUGUUUUCUGUAUGACAGUCCGUAUUUGCAUAUCAAUACCAAAUAUUUGUCCGGCAAUUAUUGUAAUAUUUUUUUCCAACUUUUUGUCGCCCGAACUUUGUAAUUAAAUUUUACGAAAAAAUGAGACGAAAGACACCCAUGUUUUUAUUAGAUCAUUAGGUAGAUUAAUGUCAACAGUUUAUGAAAAGGUAUCACUCAAAGACAUUGAAAUUCUAGUUUGAUCCAAAUUUUGGGGGGAUAUGUGACAUUUUCACCUCCCUUUUAAAUGCAGAAUGUUGCCAUGGAUACACAAUAAAGGAAUUAUAUUUCAGCCUUUUCACUUUUGAAAAUAAAAUCCAUGGAAGACAUACAUAUGCACAUGUAAAACACAAACAGGAAGGUUACUGUAUUAGAAAGCCAGGAAUAGAAGAUGAUAAAACAUUUUGUGGUUCAAUUUGAAUUUUAUUUUCUUACUGUGGAGUGCUACCUAAGAGAUUAAUGUUGUAGUGUAUCAUAGGUGUAAAUUCAAAUCCCGUUGAAGAACAAAAAUUUGUCAGCAUGAAAAUCUAUUUCUAACACUGUUCGGUUUUAUUUUCAGACUUAUAAAUAUUUAUAUAUGUAUACAUAAAGUCUCUGAAUGAUUGUAUAAUAAAAACUAUAACACAAAUUCCCAUACGUUUAGGGAAUAAACUACAACAUUGAAACAACAAUUACAUCGCUUGGAUACAUUACGUUAUAAUAACUACUAUGACGUUCAUUUGCCGCGUUUUUUCUUUUUUUAUAUAUAAGUAUUUUUAUUAUCGUUCAUACAUUGUGUUGAGUCCAUCAGGCUCUAAAUUUUUAAUUUUUUUUAACCAUUUCAUUCAGCAUAAUCAUACGAUGAAAAAUUUAAAAGUUACCGCCAUAGAAAGAGUAUUUGGAACAGAAAUUUACAGAAAACUAAAGAAGCCUUUUGGAUAAAAAAAAAUAAAAACAUUAGAUCCUGAUGGACUCAACACAAUGUAUGAACGAUAAUGAAAAUACUUAUAUAUAAAAAUAGAAAAAACGCGGCAAAUGAACGUCAUAGUAGUUAUUAUAACGUAAUGUAUCCAAGCGAUGUAAUUACAUAAUAGUUAUUGACAAACUGGUCAUUAUCGUGAUAUAUGGACUGCCCACAGGACAGUGGUAUUGACUAAGAGAGUGAUAAUGAGAGCCGUAGGCGAGGUCAUUAUCGCUGUCGAAGUCAAUACCACUGUCCUACGGGCAGUUCAUGUAUCACGAUAAUGACCAGUUCUCCAAUAACUAUUAUGUUUAUUUCAUUGAGGAACAAUGUUUUUACAAAUUCUUAUAAAUUCAAAAUAUUCAAAGCAAACUCGAGUGAUUGUACGAUUUAUAUAGCAAAGAGUGAAGACCAGUCGUAAUAAUACAUGUAACUAUAAGUCACUGCCAUUCAUAUAAGUUCAAUUUUUCAGUAUAUGAAUACUAAAUAAAGUUUUCUAUCAUUUUAUAAUUAAAGAAAACAUAUGGUAAACAAUUCAACAACAUAAAUAUUAAAUUGAAAACAGGAACAUGUUUUAUUAAAGGGUCAUCUCUCUGAACAGAGAAACCACGCCCCAUCGGUCAUUAACAGAGAAACCACGCCCACCGGUCAUUAACGUGUAGAAAAGUUUGUUAACGACCGGUAUUCUGGUCUGUGUUGUUCUGUUAAAGACCGAUGGAAUUUAUUACUGAAGAAUAAAGAAUGUCAUGUGGCCCCUUUUUAUCCAAUAAGAGAAGCUAAUUCUUAACCGAUAUGAAAUAAUUGUUGUUUUAAUGUAACAGUUGUAAUUUAUUCCAAUGAAGAAGGCCGUAAUGGCCGAAACGUAUGGGAAUUUGUGUUAUAGUUUUUAUUAUAUAUAUACAUAUAUAUAUUCAAAAUAAAAUAAACUCCUCAUAGAUAACAGUUUUAAAAUUCCGUCGUGUAUAGUUAUGGUGUUGUAAAUGGCCCACGGGGAUUUUGUUAAAUUGUGUAUGCCAGACGCGCGUAUCGUGGUAGAGUAGUCUAUCGCGCUGGCCAUAAGGCUAAGUGAUUGGUGUUGUAGUGUAUCAAAGGUGUAAAUUCAAAUCCCGUUGAUGGACAAAAAUUUGUCAGCAUACAAAUCUAUUUCUGACACUGUUCGGUUUAAUUUUCAGACUUAUAAAUAUGUAUAUAUAUACAUAUGUAUUCAAAAUAAAAUAAACUCAUCAUGGAUAACAGUUUUAAAAUUCCGUCGUGUAUAGUUAUGGUGUUGCAAAUGGCCCACGGGGAUUUUGUUAAAUUGUGUAUUCCAGACGUUCGUAUCGUCUACAAAAGAUACGCCAGUGACUCCCGCCAAAAAAUUAAAGUAAAGUAUCAACUUGAAGUGCAUUUAUGACAUAAACACAUGAUAUAUUGUUUUUUUUCUCUUCAUUCGGUUAUAUCUCUAAUAGCUCGAUGAAUUGUUUUCUAACAGUUACAGUUUUAUUUCAGCUUUACCCCAGAACAUACAAAUUCGUAAGUAAUUUAUUAAUAAUUUCUCCCUUCAAAUAAUAAUCUGCUUUGACAUUCAUAAUGAAUUAAUCUAUGUAUACUAGUCAACAAAAGAAAAUAUAAAAGGCAAUGUAUUUUCCAUAUAGAAUGAAAUUGGAUACACUGUACCCAGGAAAAUAAUUGCCCAAUUGGUCUAAUUUUUACAGAGUGUUAUUUUCUUAUCAUAACCAUUGAUUUAAGGCAAAAAACGCGAAACUUUUUUGAAUUUUUGUAUUUUCAAAAAUCAUAUUUUUUACCAAAAAAUUAAAAAAUCAAUAUUAGAACUUAAAAUGUAAAACUCAAACAGGGUCUGCUUUCAAUUUUGAAUUCAUUUGCAGAAAUUUGAAUACUUAAUUCUCAUCUUCAAAAUUAAGUGCCGAAUCUUGUCAUCAUUUUCUGCAAAAUGAAAUUGACCCCUGUGUUCAAUAACUCGGUAUUUCCUAACUUUCCAAUUUGGUCAGAUUCUUUUAAUCAUAUGCAUUUGCUUUGUAAAUGAAUGUUUUUAAUUGGAUAAUUUAACUGUUUUUCCUAUUUAUUAUAUUUUAUGAUAAAUUGGAGUUCAAACUUGUGUAUCGUUUCUUUUGUUGACUACUAUAUAACUGUGAAAUUAUCAAAUUAAAGAAAUAGUAAUUUGUCGAUUUUCAAAUAAAAAUAAUUUGAUUGAGAAGACAAAUCAAGACAACAAACAAAAAUGGGGGAAUAUCUUGAACUCAAACUGCGCGUUAAAACAAAAGUGGGCAUUUCUUGCUUUGCAUUCUUUAUCCGCUUAACGAAUCGUCAUUCAGUCAAACACAAUCGGUGUUAGUAGGAAGAGAUCCCAAGGGGAUAUUCGAACUCAUUGGUAGAAAAAACUAACAACGUCAUUGCAAGAAAGUAAAAACAUCCUACAAUGUUUUUGCUGUGUUAGAUCAUUAGAUACCGGUAAAGUCGACUGCUUUGUAAUUUGACCAAUUGGGACGUUUUGACUAAGUGCGAAUUCUUAUGUCCGUAGACGCUGACUUUUUUACUACUUGUUGGGUUCAUGCUGUUAUCUCAGUUUUUCGUUUGUUACCUUGAUUUGUCUCUUUAUAUUCGCUUUAUGAGCCAAACAUAGGUUAACUACUGUUGCCUUUGUUAGGCGGGAAUGGAAUAGAGAAAAUAUAAAUGUCAGUGUUUUUAUCAUGCAAAUUCACGAAACAUAUCAUCAACAAGACACUUUAUUAAUUUAUUGAAUCCAAAGCGCUUUUCAGCAUUCAUUAGAAACGCACUAACUAAAACAUUUGAAAGUCAUAGAUGUUAAUGUACGUAUAAACUUCAAGAGCUGUACGGCAUGCAAAACCCAAAAGAAUAGUUAAAUUAAUUACGGUCAACUUUGCUUGAGGGAGUUGUAGUAUUAGUUUCGAAAGAAAACUUUGUUUAUAAAGGGGAACUUUUUCAGACGUAUUUUAUAAAUCAUGUCAGAACCAGAGGUACUAACUACCUAUGUGAUCAUACCCUCGGAGACUAGCAGUUCACCAGCAGUGAUGUCGAUGCAGUGCUGAUAAACCUUUUUUCUGCAUUUACAUUCAUUAGGACAGCUUGGACCUAAACAUUUGAAAGCCAGGAAUGUAAACAUACAUUUCGCUAUAUAUUCAAAAGAGAUCCAAACAAUUAUUUUUAUCGAAGGUCACCUUGAGAGAUUGAGUUUAAUCAUCAUUCUGCAAAUUAUAAAUUCAUUUACAAUAUAUCUUAAAAAGUUUGUUAUACAUCAUGUCAGUACCGAACCACUAACUUCUAAAAAUAUCCUGGGGUGACGAAAGUCAUCCGUAAGUGGUAUUACCCAGUGCUAGUAAAUGCAAAUAACUCCAAUAGUUCCUUGUGUUUGAAGCGAGUUUAUAAUUUCCUUCAUCAUGAACGAUCAAACAUAAAAUUUGAAAAUAAACCUAAGACAUAUUUAUUCAAUUACAAUUUUGUCAACUUCAGAAUAAAACUUUCAAAUAUAGUGAUAAUUGUAGGCUUUUAUCGCACUUUUUAACGGUGACUCCUUAUUAUGAAUCAAAAGACAGAUUUGUAAUAUAUUUAGAACAAAUAUAAAAUUAUUGAAACGACCUUAUUGUGUGAAAAUAAACGAGCCUAGCGUAUUAUCUAAGAUAGUUAACGCCAUACAAUAGUGCAGAUAGUAUGUUAUUGUUGAGAAUUGGGAGUUGACAAGUGGAAAGUUAAAAUCGUCCACGUUGUCAUAGAGUCUAGGUCGAAGUCAUCCAUCUAUAUCAAUAUAUCAGAAAAAGUUAAUAUACUAUGCGCACCGUUUUCUUUCGGUAGCAUUCUAAAAUUGUUCGCUUAGACAAAUAUGAAAAAUAUGAUAAUAAAAAUAACACUCAUGGAUUGAUUCUGAUUCAGAUUAAGCAUUAUCAGCUCGAGUAUUCUUCAUAUCAAUGAUCUUUUAUACUGUUUCCUUUUUAUUUUAGUUACCCAUCAUCAAAUUAACGUAGAUCCCUUGCAGACUCGUAAGCAUCUUAUUAAAUAAUUCAAUAACAAGAAAAUAAUGAUAACGAUAAUGUGCAUGUAUUGUCUAUUCUUUGUUUCCAAACCAAACGAAUGUUUAAUAUCAAUAACUUUUACAAUUUAGAUUUAAAACAAUGGCGGCUUUAUUAAAUAUGAAAAUAAACAACGAUUAUGCGCAUAUAUUAUUCUUUUGAUUUAUGAAAGAGAAAACACUGUAAAACACUUAAAAUACGAAAGAGAGGACGAGAUGAUAACACAGCGAUUGGAUUAGAACAAACCGCGGUAAUUGGUUUCAUUUAUAUUUCAAAUCGGUCACGGAACUAAUUGCUGACGUAAAGCUUUUGAAGACUUCACUUUAGCAUUAUCUUUUUUUUCCAAUAGCUUUCUAGUUAGCAGCAAUUCAAUAAAGAGAAAACUAUGAUAGGAAAACAAGCUUUAUCAAUGGGAUAUAUGCGUAAACGUUAUCUUUAUACGGGAACGUUAAGCUUAAGUUAAUUCCAUUUCUUCUACGAAGAUUUUGUAGGAAGUAUUCACACGGAACAAAACGGCUACAGCGGGGAAAAGUUGGUUCCCUCAGAAAUUUCAUUAUCUAUUCGUAAAUGAAAACACCUCCAUGAAUUACACAUUUCAUAAAACAAAUUAAGUCUCUGGAUGAUGUCAUUUUCAAAAAAGAAUUAGAAUGAUGAUGGAUACAAGAGUAAAGGUUAGAGAAGUAAUUUGUUUUAUACCGUUGUAACAGAAAAAAAAGAGACUUUGGUUGCAAGAUAAAAUGUUUUUUGUUUAACCUUAAAUAGACUUUCAUAGUUAAUUGCAAGCCCGGCUUUGUAUUGUUUGGCUUUAUAACUAUUUAUAUUCAACUUUGUAUUGGUUGGCUUUAUAACUAUUUUGAUAUGAGCAUCACUGAUCAGUCUUAUAUAGACGAAACGCGCGUCUGGCGUACUAAAUUAUAAUCCUGGUACUUUUGAUUACGAUUAAUUGCUUAUAAUGGUUCAUUUUGAUUAUAUGUUUUUUCUUCUUUGGUUGCAUUUAACGAGUCGUUUGUUUUUUCUUAUUUGAGAAUUGAGAUAAAGUUGGCACGUCUUGUCAUACCCAAUUCAUGUAUGGUUUUCUGUACAUGUUUUAUGUGGGUUUUGUCUGAUGAUUGGUUGUUCGUUGUGUUGCGUUCGUGUUGUGUCGUUGUCUCUUUAAUUUAAUGCGUUCGCUCGUUUGGUUUUACCCCGAUUUUGUUUUUUGUCCAUGGAUUUAUGAGUUUUGAACAGCGGUAUACUACUGUUGCCUUUAUUUAUAAUCUUGAUGUUGAUAAUUGUAAAGACAAUAUUCGAGCAAUAUUACGAUGCUAUUUUGGUAUCCACGAAUUGGAGAAAAAAAUCAUGUUUUCUUCCUUGAUUGCAUUUCAAAUGUUAUAUCUUGUCAUUGGAUUAUAUAUGUUACAUAAUGACAAUGAGUUUAUAUCUAAUGAUUUUUGGUAUUCCUAAUAAUUAAAUUUGAAAUUCUAAAUCCUUUUUUCAACAGUCCAGAUUCCACAAAUACAGUUAUUCAACCAUGUGAUAAACACGGACCCUGACCAACUUCGUAAGUUCUAUUUUAUCAAGACUAGAUAUUAGUAAGCAGACUUGGAACCAUUAGUUAAACAAGUCUUAUAUUUUAGUUAAUGUUAACAUUCAGUACUGUAUUGAAAUUCAGACUUUGGUUGUCGCUGCAGUUUAGUUUUUUCUUUCCUUUUUGGAUUUAUUUUUCUCUUUUUGUUAGGCUUUUGUUUGUGUAGUUUUCAAAUUUUCUGUCUGCGGAUUUCAAAGAUUUGCGUCAUAUCGUGAAUUAAAUCUUCAACUGAUUAUUUGGUAAGUUACGAAUUCAACUAAAUGAGAAAUAACAAGAUUAUAAAGUUCUAUUACAAAGAAUAAGAGUUCCUUUAGACACUUGUUUAACAUUCAGAUAUAUUGUUGAUGUUAUUUCAAAUAAAUAUCAAAACUUUUCUGAUUGAAUUCUAUUAAUAUAUCCUCUAGAAAUAGAAAUUAAAGAAACAAUACACACUGCCUCAUUUUUCUACUAAGACCACGAAGCUGACAUUAGCGUACAUCUCAUUACCAGAUUCUAUUACAAACUAGACGAAUGUUAUUUUGACAUUAUCCCACACCUUAGUAGCAAUAUACAAACUUCACCUGAAUACGGGACAUACAUUUCCUAACUCCUUUCAAGAUUUUGCAGCUGCUACCCAGAAUUUAUUAAAGGUGUCUUCGCAUAUUCUUGAUUAACCAGCAUUAUUUAAAAAAUAACGCAUUUUCCUUUUCUACCUAUACAUCUCGCCAAUGUAUUGUUGUAUUGUUGUAUUGUUGUGUUGUUUUUUUUGUUUUUUUGGUUUUUUUUUGUUUUUUUUUUCUUGCCUUUCAUUUUGCUUAAAUUCUUUUUGUAUAUGGUAUUUUGCUGUUCUUUUUUGGCAUAUAAGUUUUUAUAGUGAUAACGAUUAUAACACAAUGUUGACUGUUGUACUCCUAUUUUUGACAUUUUCAGCUAUCUAUGUCAGUUUGUUUUAUUAACAAAUUGUUUAUAUAAUGGACUUUUUAUUCGAUAGUCAUACAAGUGAGCGGUUUAGCUAGCUCUAAAACAAGUUUUAAUACACAAUUUUCUACAUAAGAAAGGGUUUGGUAUUGUACAAUCUGAAGUUGUUUAUCCGUGGUAUUUUUUUUUUUUUUUUUUUUUUUUUUACCUUUUGAUUUUUUACACGUCAUUCAUCGUAUUGAUAUAAUAUGGUAUGCUGUAGUUUACCUAUUCGUCUAUACGUAUGUCCGUCCAUUUACAGGUCGAAGAACUACUAGAGAAUAAUUUUAUGAACAAAAAUCAUCAUACUCUUAUGGCAUAUUUGAAGGGAUGGAAGAAAACUUCCUUUAUAUAGAUUUGAAAUAUGUGGCUUCGUUCCAGUGACUAAAACGUUAUACUAAAUGUUUUUCUCAUUCAUCGACCAGUAUAUUUGAUAUCUCCUAUCAGUAAAUUGCUUUCUAUAUAAACUAGAUAUCAGUUUUCGUUUCCUACAAAGUUACAUCUGCUAUAUUCAACAGUAUUUAACACACUUAAUAAAAACACGAUUUUCGUUAGUGUAUUUCAACUUAGAUCUAAAAAGAGAUAAUAAAUUGCCUUUUCCACUUGACAAACAAAUAACUUUCUGUUAUAAAACGGUUUGUGUUUUUCUCAUUAUUUAAGGCCAUGCAAAUGUCUUUAAUUGGUAACAUCAACUUUAUUUGUAGUUUUGUUGAUAGUUGUCUCAUUUACAGUCCUAUCAAAUUUCACUUAUUUAUAUAUAUAUAUACUAGGCAAACAAAAGUAACGCUAGUACAUGUUUGUAAGAUAAUAUUUUUUAUAACAAAAAAAUUAUAACAAUAAGUUAAUGGAAUAGUUAGCUUACAUCAUGUUGAAGAGAACAAUAACAAGUUUCCUCUAUUUUAAACAAUAUUGCACAUUUUUGGACAAUUUUUAGAGGACGAUUAAAAAAAUACCGUUAUAUUUAUGACCGCAUGGCAACUCUGUCUCAUUGAAUCAAUAUGACGUCGAAUUAAGUUUCGUCCAAAUGCAUACCAAAUAUGUUCAAUUGGCGAUGAAUCUGUAGACAUUGCUAUUCAUGGCAACACACGCAUAUGAUUAUUUUCCAAAGAAGUUCAUCGAAAUGUGCGCAACUUGACAAUGGGCGUUGUCCUGCUGAAAACUUUGUUUAAUUGAUGCCUUCGUAGAAACAUGAAAACAAUUGCAACCAGAAUUUCGUCCCUUUACCUUGAUGCAUUUAAAAUAAACACCAAUUAUUUUUGAACUCGGUGAGUUUAUGGUAGGUUAUUCCACCCCAUACCACCAAAUCGUUGUGUUUCAUAUACGCACGCAACAAAAAAUCGUUCAUUGCGUCUCCAGAAGACUCUGACUAAUUUCAAGUUGAAUUUCGAUUCAUCGGUAAAAAGAAAUUGUCUGUAUGUAAGCAUAUUUCAUUGAAUCCUUAUCCAAGUAAAUUGAAGUCGCACCACUCUGUGACGCUACCUAAGGAUAGGUCUAUUCAACGAACGACGUGUUGACGCAAUCGAUAACGUAUAGUUCGGGCAGAUAUUCUGUGUGAGAUUUAUGUUCUGGUUGUGACGCGUUUACACACCAAUUCCAGAGAUGAAUAAUGCGAAUUUGCCUGUCUUAACACUACGUCUUUCCACGUGACCUGUCACUUCGUGGACGAUCAUUUGUCUCAGAUGAAUCUUAAGCCUUCCAAUAGUCAUUUUAGAGACAUUAACAUCAUUUGCAACCUGCAUUUGAGUCAUUCCUGCUUCCAACAUCCCAAUAGCUCGUUCUCUCUCAUUUUUGCGUAGACAGGGCAUUGACCUACGUGAAGCUUUUUAAUUUUUGAAAUGCGAACUUUUGUAUAUAAAAGUGUUCAACGACAAUGACAGCUCGAUUCCACCUUUUUAUAUGUAAAUGUUUGAAAAAAAAUGCUUAUUUGUUUGAAAUCAGAAAAUAGCGUAACGUCAUAUCCAUUUUAUUUUUACAAAUGAGUUAUUUUGACAAAUAUAUAAUACAGGGUACUACUUUUAAUCUUGAAAAAAAUUAAAAAGACAUAUAUGAUUUUUUCUUUAUCAAAAUCCAAGGCAACGUUACCUUUCCCUCAUAGUAUAUAUAUAUAUAUUGACAUUGCAGAACCAAGAGUUUAAAUUUAAAAAUAGAAAACUUAAGGUCUCGCAAGGGUUUCUUUGACGCUAAUGGUAUCAAUGAUAUCACUCGUAAAAAGUUACCAAUAUGGUAUGUCAUUCAGUUUAGUCAAGAAUUAUUGGUAGACUGAUAAUAUGUAGAAUUUAAAAUUAUCAUUAAUUAUAAGAAGUUAUAUUCAUCUUUUUCAAAAGUUGGUCGUCGAGAUGAACCUGUUGAAGAUUCUUCUAGUCAUGUCAUAAUUAAAGAACCUGAGGCAAAUCGUAAGAAACUUUUAUUUAUUAUAAAUAUAUUCAUAUCAAUAGAUUUGCUCUAAUUGUGCGGUCUUUUUAGAAACAUUCUGUUUUGUCAUAUUUUGUCUUAACAUAAUCAUGGUCAUAUUUGUUUAAUUUGUAUGAAAAGGACAAAGAUUAAAGAACUAUAUCCGCUGAACACAUUAAUUGACAAUAAACAUAUUAUGAUAAAACUGCUCGAGGUAAAAAAAAAAAGUGACCGAUCUCAUAUCAUUGGCUAUAUCAAACAAUUUUGGUUUGGGACGGACUUGUUUCGCAUUGACAAUAUAAACAAAAAAUACUACUCGACGCAUACCCAUGAUCAUUUGUGAAAGAGAAUUCCAUAACGGCCAACCAAGUCGAUGGGGGUAAAAUUUCCAAGUUGCAAACUCUACCAAUAAGAAUCUUUGUUUUAAUAACUUUAAUAAAGUAAAGCAUAAUAAGAAUGCAAGCUUGAUAAUAUCAUUUCAACUUGAAUACAUAUUCUCUACAUGCUGGCGCUACUGUAAUGUCCAACAAAAAUGAUAUAGAUUCAGUCAGAAAUAUGCAGUUUAGUAUUUCAAAAAAGUCAAUCAACAGUUCCGAACUCCAAGGUUCAUCAGAAAAAUGGGAAGUCUGUUAAAAUGUCAAAAUCAAAGCUAGACUUUAUCAAAAGUAAGAACACCAAUGUAACUUUACCUUUCCCCCUUAGUGUAUAUAUCAUGUUAGCUCAAUAUAUAUUUUUUUUUCUCGCUAAAAAGUGACAUUGCAGAACCAAGAGUUUAAAUUUUGAAAUAGAAAACUUAAGGUCUCGCAAGGGUUUCUUCAACGCUAAUGGUAUCAAUGGGCGACCCAAUUGGCCGACUUCAUUUCGAUAUCUAGUGAAAAUGGGAUUGACAUGGUCAUAUAUAACACAUGUUAUGAUUGGAUAUAGCUUUCCCGCAAUUAGAACCCGAGGAGCCCUGGGUUGUUGCUGGGUUCCUUGAGAUCGACUUGAUAUCCCGGAUGUUAUGACAUCAAUCCAAUCAAAUUUGAAUGUAAACAUAUUAAGAGUAGGGGCCUUGUACUUCCGGUAAUCUAGAGACGUUACUCUUCAAAACUAUUUACCGUUUAUAUGGAACUCGAGUCAAAAUUCGUGUUCCAAAUAAAGCCGCCAUAUUACGUCACUAGCACACUAUGUAACGAAUUUAUCUUACCGACUACUAGUAUCUUAACGUGUGAAACUUAGAGAGGGACCUAUCAAAAUUCAAUACCGUUAGCAUUAAGACACUACUUCCAUUGAUCCUACAAAAACAGAUGCCAACAAUAACAACUUGCUCGGUUUAAAUGUGUUUUAUGAAUUUAUUUCAAUUUUCAUCAUCAAUUUCUUCGUCUGUUGAAACCUUUAAGAUUUUUUCUCAGUAUAGUUUUGUUUUAUAAAGAUACAUAACACCACUACUAACCGUGUAUGAAAUAAGCCCCGCCUCCCUACUAACCUAAUAUGGAAUAAACACGGUUAUCCAAGCGGACGCUUUUUGCCCAUCAUAUUCCUAGAAAUGUAUAGGAGGUAAGAUAAUAUGUAGAAUUUGAAAUUAUCAUUUAUAACAAGAAGUUAUAUUUAUCUGUUUCAAAAGUUGGUCAUCCAGAUGAACCCCUUGAAGAUUCUUCUGACCAUGUCAUAAUUAAAGAAUCUGAGGCAAAUCGUAAGAAACUUUUAUUUUUUAUUUAAAUUUAUUAUAAAUAUAUUCAUAGCAAUAGAUUCGCUUAAAUUGUUCGGUAUUUUUAAAAACAUUCUGUUGUGUCAUAUUUUGUUCUUAAAAUAAUCAUUGUCAUAUUCAUUAAAUAUCUAUGGAAACAACUCAAGAUUACAGAUUAUAUUCGCUGACCACAUUAAUUGACAAUAAAAAUAAUAUGAUAUAAGUGAUCGAGGUAAAAAAAAAAGUGAGUGAUCUCAAAUCAUUGGCUACAUCAAAUAAUUUUGGUUUGGGACGGACUAGUCUCGCAUUGACAAUAUAAACAAAUAUUAAUACUUGACGCAUACCCAUAGUCAUUUGUGAAAGAGACAUUCCAUAACGGCCAACUAACUCGAUGGUGGUAAAAGAGGGACGAAAGAUAUCAGAGGGACAGUCAAACUCAUAGAUUGAAAAUAAACUGACAACGGCUUGGCUUAAAAUAAAAAAAACAAACAGACAAAUAACAGCACAGAAGAUAAACAUAGAAAACUAAAGACUGAGCAACACGGUAAACUCAGGUGUUCCGGAAGUGAAAGCAGAUCCUGCUCCACAUGUGGCAUCCGUCGUGCUGCUUAUGUUAUUACAAAUCCGAUAAAAAGUCUAAUUCGGUAGUUCACAAUCGUGAAUAGGGAAGGGUAUUGUAGUUACGACACGAGGAAGAUAUACGAUAAAACUUCCAAAUGGAAAACUUAACCAAUAAGAAUCUUUGUUUAAAUAAAAUUGAGAAUGGAAAUGGGGAAUGUGCCAAAGAGACAACAACCUGACCAUAGAGCAGACAACAACAGAAGGUCACCAACAGAUCUUCAAUGCAACGAGAAAUUCCCGCACCCGGAGGCGUCCUUCAGCUGGCCCCUAAACAAAUAUAUACUAAUUCAGUGAUAAUGAACGCCAUACUUAACUCCAAAUUGUACACAAGAAACUAAAAGUUAAAAUAAUACAAGACUAACAAAGGCCAGAGGCUCCUAACUUGGGACAGGCGCAAAAAUGCGGCGGGGUUAAACAUGUUUGUGACAUCUCAACCCUCCCCCUAUACCCCUAGCCAAUGCAGAAAAGUAAAUAACUUACUUGUAGGCAGCAACCUUCAAUUAAGUAUAUCAUAAUAAGAAAGCAAGCUUUAUAAUAUCAUAUCAACUUGGAUACAUAUUCUCCACAAGCUGCAGCUACUGGAAUGUCGAACAAAAAUGAUAUACAUUCAAAGCCAAAAGUUUGCAGUAAUCACUUUAGUACUUCAAAAACGUCAAUCAACAGUUCCGAACUCCAAGGUUCAUCAGAAAAAGGGGAAGUCUGUUAAAAGGUCAAAAUCAAAGUUAGACUUUAUCAAAAGUAAGAACACCAAUGUAACUUUACCUUUCCCCCUUAGUGUAUAUAUCAUGUUAGCUCCAUAUAUAUUUUUUCUUGGUAAAAAGUGACAUUGCAGCACCAAGAGUUUAGAUUCUAAGAUAAAAAAACUUAAGGUCUCACAAGAGUUUCUUCGACGCUAAUGGGAACAAUGGUAUCACUCGUAAAACGUUACCAAUAUGGUAUGUCAUUCAGUUUAGUCAAGAAUUAUUUGUAGACUGAUAUUAUGUAGAAUUUGAAAUUAUAAUUAAUUUUAAAAAAGUUAUAUUCAUCUGUUUCAAAAGUUGGUCGUCUAGGUGAAGCCGCCAAAGAUUCUUCUGAUCAUGUCAUAAUUACAGAUCCUGAGGCAAAUCGUAAGAAACUUUUAUUUUUUAUAUUAAUUCAUUAUAGAUAUGUUCAUAUCAAUAGAUUCGCUCAAAUUAUUCAGUAUUUUAGAAACAUUCUUUUGUGUCAUAUUUAUCUUAAAAUAAUCAUUAUAAUAUGUGGAAUUUGUAUGAAAACAACCUAAGAAUAUAGAAUUAAAACAGCUGACCACAUUAAUUGACAAUAAAAAUUAUAUGAUAAAAGUGCUCGAGGUAAAACAAAAAGUGACUUAUCUCAUAUCAAUGGCUACAGCUAAUAAUUUUGGUUUGGUAUGGACUAGUCACGCUUUGACAAUAUAAACAAAAACUCCCACUCGACGCAUAUUCAUGGUCAUUUGUGAAAGUAAAAUUCAUAACGGCCAACCAACUCGACGCCGAUAAAACUUCCGAAUGGACAAAUUUACCAAUAAGAAUCUUUUUUUAAAUAACAUCUGUGUAAGCAGCAACCAUCAAUCAAGUAAAGCACAAUAAGAAUGCAAGCGUUAUUAUAUCAUUUUAACUUGGAUACAUAUUCUCCACAUGCUGCAUCUACUGGAAUGUCGAACAAAAAGGAUACAGAAGUAAGAAAUUUGCAGUCAUCACUUUAGUAUUUCAAAAAAGUCAAACAAAAGUUCGAACUCCAAGGUUCAUAAAAAAAGGGAAAAUCUGUUAAAAUGACAAAAUCAAAGUAAGACUUUAUCAAAAGUUAGAAAUUAUCAUUAAUAAUAAGAAGUUAUAUUUAUCUGUUUCAAAAGUUGGUCGUCGAGAUAAACCCGUGGAAGAUUCUUCUAAUCAUCUCAUAAUUAAAGAUUCUGAGGACAAUCGUAAGAAAAUUUGGUUUUUAGCUAGCCUGGCCCAGAAGGCCAAGUGAGCUUUCCUCGUCACUUGGUGUCCGUCGUCCGUCGUCCGGCGUCCGCAAACUUUUACAAAAACCUUCUCCUCUGAAACUACUGCGCCAAAUUUAACCAAACUUGGCCACAAUCAUCAUUUGGGUAUCUAGUUUAAAGAUUGUGUCCGAUGACCUGGCCAACCAACCAAGAUAGCCGUCAUGGCUAAAAAUAGAACAUAGGGGUAAAAUGUAAAUGUUGGCCAAUAUUUCGGAAACCAGAGCAUUAAGAGCAAAUCUGACGGGUUAAAUUGUUUAUCAGGUCAAGAUCUAUCUGCCCUGAAUUUUCAGACAAAUCGGACAACCUGUUUUUGGGUUGCUGCCCCUGAAAUAGUAGUUUAAGAACAUUUUGCAGUUUUUGGUUAUUAUUCUAAAUACUAUUAUAGAUAGAGAUAAACUGUAAGAACAAUUAAUGUUCAGCAAAGUAAGAUCUACAAAUAAAUCAACAUGACCAAAAUUGACAGUUGACCCCUGAUGGAGGAAUUGCCCUUUGUAGUCAAUUUUUAACCAAUUUUCUAAAAUUUUAGUAAUUUUUUAAAAAAAUCUUCUCCUCUGAAACUAGAUACUAGACAAAUUUUACCAAACUUGGCCACAUUCAUCAUUUGGAGUAUCUAGUUUUAAAAAAUGUGUUCGAUGACCCUGCCCACCAACUUAGAUGGCCAACAUGGCUAAAAAUAGAACAUAGGAGUAAAAUACAGUUUUUCGCUAAUAUCUCUGAAACCAAAGCAUUUAGAGCAAAUCUGACAGUAGUAAAAUUGUUCAUUUAGUCAAAAUCUAACUGCCCUGAAUUUUUUAGACAAAACAGGCAACCCGUUGUUGGGUUGCUGCCCCUGAAUUGGUAAUUUUAAGAAAAGUUUUUGGUUAUUAUCUUCAAUAUUAUCUUAGAUAAAGAUAAACUGUAAACAGUAAUUAUGUAUAGCAAGUAAGAUCUACAAAUAAAUCAUCUUUACCAAAACGGUCAAUUGACCCCUUAAGGAGUUAUUGCUCUUUAUAGUAAAUUUUAAACGAUUUUCGUAAAUUAUGUUAGUUUUUUGUAAACUUUUACAAAAAGUAUUUCUUUGUAUGCACAUUUAACGACAAAUCUAUGUGACGUAUAAAAUUUUCUGACGUCAGACACACAAAUCAAUGAAUGUGUUUGUAGAUAGAUGUUUUUGUGUUCUGUUAAAUUGUUCCUUUUGAAAUUGUUAUACGAUGAUGACUGAAGUACCCAUAUUUUAAAAUUGUUAUACGAUGAUGACUGAUGUACCCAUAUUUUAAAAUUGUUAUACGAUGAUGACUGGUGUACCCAUAUUUUGACUAUUUUAUUUAUUGUGUCUGUUUAGUAAACGCAUCAAUGUAAAUUUAACGGAAUUUGAUGAGACUGUCAUCAAUGUGAGAGGGUUAGCGCUAUAAAACCAGGUUUAAUCCAUCAUUUUCUACAUUUAAAAAUGCCUGUACCAAGUCAGUAAUAUGACAGUUCUUGUCCAUUCGUUUUUGAUGCGUUUUGUUAUUUGAUUUUUCCAUGUGAUUAUGGACUUUCCGAAUUGAUUUUCCUCCAAGUUCAGUAUUUUUGUGAUUUUAAUUUUUUAUUUGAAACUUCUGAGCCAAGUUUAUUAUGAUAAAGAGAAAAUUGUAAACAGCAAGAAUGUUCAGUAAAGUAAGAUUGACAAACACAUCAUCACCACCCAAACACUAUUUUGUCAUGAAGUCUAUUCUCAUCUAUAAUUUGUGUCCUUUGUUUAAUAUGCUGCUUGCACAUAGACCAAUGUGAGCGACACAGGCUCUUAAGAGCCUCUAGUUAUUAUAACUUAUAAUAAUUGUUAGGUAUUUUUAGAAACAUUCUGUUGUGUCAUAUUAGUCUUAAAAUAAUCAUUGUCAUACAUUUUAAAUUUGUAUGAAAAAGGACAAAAGAUUACAGAAUUAUAACAGCUGACCACACUUAAUCGACAACAUGAAAAUUAUGGAGUGGUAUGAGUAUCAAUGAGACAACUCUCAAUCCAAGUCAUAAUGUAUAUAAAAUUUACAAUUAUAAGUCGAAUUACCUUCAUUCAGUUCAAUGAAGUAUUAUUUCAUUUGUAUACUGAGUAUGUAGAAUUUGAAAUUAUCGUUUCUUAUAAGAUUUAUUUUUAUCUGUUUCAAAAGUUGACCGCCGACUCCUGAUCAUCUCAUAGUUAAAGAUCCUGAGGACACUCGUAAGAAACGUUUUUUCUCCUUAUUUUAAUUCAUUUUGAUUAUAUUCAUACCAAUAAAUUCGCUAAAUUGUUCGGUAUUUUUAGAAACAUUCUGUUGUGUCAUAUUUUGUUUUAAAAUAAUCAUUGUCAAAUGUGUUAAAUUUGUAUGAAAAGGACCAAAAAUAACAGAAUUAUAACUGCUGAACACAUUAAUUGACAAUAAAAAAAAAUAAAAUGUGGUAUGAAUGUCAUUGAGACAACACUCCCUCCAAGACACAAUGUGUAAAAAGUUAACAAUUAAAGGUCAAACUACAGCAAUGUUAUUUUCACAUAUUGUAUGUUUACUUAGUGCAAACCUGUAUGUUUAAAAAUUGGUAAAAUUAAUUUAUUAUCAAUUAGAUAAAAUAAUAAAUGAAACACAAUAUUUUUUUAAAGAAAUAUCUGACAAUAACUUGUCUUAUUUUGUUGUUAUUAUAUAAGAUACAUAUUUGUUGGACUGUCUACUUUAAAAUAAACAACCCAAUCAGAUAAUUCAAACCAUAUGACGAAUAAAUCAUUUUAAAUGUUAUAAAACUACUAUCAAGUAUCUGUGUGUUUACGAUCAAAUAAAACAGAUUCCAUAAAAAUUACCUAGCAGGGAUGUAAGGAAAAACGAUUGAAAUCGGCCGGAAAAAGUUUAUUGUCAAAAUAGAUAAUUUGAUGACUGAUACGAUUUUUAAAAUUCUAAAGCCAAAAGAAUCGACUGAUCUUGAAAAUUAUCUUUUAUGUCAUCUUUUGUUCAAGACGAAAAAGAUAAAUUAGAAUAAUGCAUGUUUCUUUAAAACUAGAUGAUAAAUAUAUUUGCAUAAUAAAUUUGAUAUCAUAUAUAUAAAUAAAUGCAUAAAGGUUUUUCUACUAGUAGUCUACCGAGAGUGCAGAAUUCAAAAUAUGUUGUUCUACCCUUUGUCUUUUAAAUGUUAAACUGACCUUAUAAUUUUUAGUUAAUACACAACGAUAAUCAUUACAAUCUCUCAAGUAAACUGUCACAAAAAGUUUUGUUUUUACUUUUUAAAUUAGGACUUUUUUGUUUUAAUGUAACGAUAUAGUUAAUGUUGAGAUACACAACUUACAAAUGCUUCUUAUUUACUGUACUUUUAUUCACAGUUGGAAGUUUUCCAAGACGACAACUAUGAAAUAUGCUGAAAAAAAUAUGAAAGCAAAUAAAGUUUUCAAUUAAAAGUUUUUUUUUUAUAAAAUCAGAAAACCAG
rnacentral:lncRNA from 1 species